rnacentral:tRNA from 1 species
GGGCGCGUAGCUCAACGGCGGAGCAGGAAUCUUAUACAUUCAAGGCUGAAGGUUCGAAUCCUUCCGCGCCCA